ensembl:snRNA U6 U6 spliceosomal RNA
CUGUUCGCUUCAGCAGCACGCAGACUAAAAUCGGAGCGAUAUGGAGAAGCAGAGCACGGCUCCUGUGUCAGGAAGACCCGAAAAUUCAUGAAGUGUCCCAUAGUUAA